rnacentral:rRNA from 1 species
UACCAGCGCCCCGAGUGGUCGGGACGAUUAUUGGGCCUAAAGCAUCCGUAGCCGGUUUUACAAGUCCCCCGUUAAAUCCAGCUGCUUAACAGAUGGGCUGCGGAGGAUACUAUAAGACUAGGAGGCAGGAGAGGCAAGCGGUACUCAGUGGGUAGGGGUAAAAUCCGUUGAUCCAUUGAAGACCACCAGUGGCGAAGGCGGCUUGCCAGAAUGCGCUCGACGGUGAGGGAUGAAAGCUGGGGGAGCAAACCGG